ACGGGCUCGGGCUGCGGCUCUGGCCCAGGCUCAGCCCCUCCCCUGUCGGCCGAGCCCGGCUAGCUCCCGGACCGUGACCUCCCGAGGCAGACGGAGCCUGGCCUGGUGCUGGGAAUUGAACCCUGGUCCUUUGGAAGAGCAGCCAGUGCUCUUUACCACUGAGCCAUCUCCAGCCUGCUUCAUUCUUGAAAACAGUUUCUCACCAAUUGCGAAGUGACUAGCUGCUCAAGUUCUGCCCCAGCUUUCUGAUGGACUAUACCCCUGAGUCGAGAGUUAAACCAUCUCUCCACUGAUUUCUUUCUGUCCGGGUGUUUUUAUCACAGCAACAUCAACAAAGCUGGAACACUGACUCUUCCUGGUUUCUGUCUAAAAGUCACCAU